GAAUUUUAUAUAAUAAUUAAGAUUGAUUUUUAAGUUUUAAAGAAGUUAAUUUUGAUUUAUAUUUAAUUGGGAGGAUUAUUAAAUUUUAGGAACUUUAAUUUUUAAUUUACAUUAAUUUAUGGAAUUAGAUAAAUUAGGUUAAAUUAUGGUAAAAAAAUUAAUUACCUUAGGGAUAACAGCGUAAUAUUUUUAGAGAGAUCAUAUUGAUAAAAGUGUUUGC
rnacentral:rRNA from 1 species